rnacentral:ncRNA from 9 species
UAAGUGCUUCCAUGUUUUAGUGA